rnacentral:lncRNA from 1 species
GAUGUGAAAACAGCAUCUUACCUCAUAAAUCAGAUUCAAACCUCCAACUAAGGAUGUAGCACUGAAAAGACCACACUUGGAAGCAUUGCUGCUUUGGAUGAUGAUAGAAUCUAUGCAGUCUUUUGAGGAUACUUCAAUAUUUCCUUCCACCUCCCCUUUUGGAAAGGGCUUCAGAUGAACUCUGAGAGUUACUGAAGAUGAUUCCAAAGAUUUCCUCCCCUGAAAGGAAACCAAAUUCACCCUUUUAAUAAAAGAUAUAGGUGUUUCCA